rnacentral:rRNA from 1 species
UACGGAGGGUGCAAGCGUUAUCCGGAUUCACUGGGUUUAAAGGGUGCGUAGGCGGGCAGGUAAGUCCGUGGUGAAAUCUCUGAGCUUAACUCAGAAACUGCCAUGGAUACUAUUUGUCUUGAAUAUUGUGGAGGUGAGCGGAAUAUGUCAUGUAGCGGUGAAAUGCUUAGAUAUGACAUAGAACACCAAUUGCGAAGGCAGCUCCACUACACAGUUAUUGACGCUGAGGCACGAAAGCGUGGGGAUCAAACAGGG